rnacentral:rRNA from 1 species
CCCUACGGGAGGCAGCAGUGGGGAAUAUUGGACAAUGGGCCCAAGCCUGAUCCAGCCAUGCCGCGUGAGUGAUGAAGGUCUUAGGGUUGUAAAGCUCUUUCCCCGCUGAAGAUAAUGACGGUAUUCGGAGAAGAAGCCCCGCCUAAUUUCGUGCCAGCAGCCGCGGUAAUUCGAAGGGGGCUAGCGUUGUUCGGAAUUACUGGGCUGUAGGGCGCACUUAGAAGGAUCCCAAAGUCAAGUGUGAAAUCUCUGGGCUAAAAACUGGGACUUACUUUGAUAAUUGGUAUGUGGAGUAUAGAAGAGAUAAGUGAAACUAAAACUGUAGAGGUGAAUUUCGUUGAUUG